rnacentral:lncRNA from 1 species
AGCUAAUUUAUAUAUAUAUAGAGUUGAGCUAGAAUUCUAUCGAUAGCAAACGGACUGCAUUGCCACCCAUUUGUUUUCAACGAUAGAGCUUCCAAAUCGACGAUCGACAUCGUUGAACAUAGUCUAUACCACUUGAAAUAUCUAGAAAUUAAAUUUUAAAUCUUUUCGACAUUAUUAACCUAAUGAUCAAAGGGUUUCAAAAUUUAUAAUUUUAAUGGUUGAUAUGAGGCAUUUUUUCGUCUAACGGUGUAAAGAUAUCCAAAUCAAUUGAAUUUUGGUUAGAAAAUUUUGUAAACUAUUUAGAACAAGAUCUAUACUCUCGAUCUUGAUUAUAAGAUUCCUAUAAUCAUUUUUUAAAAAAUAUUCAUUUUUAACCGUUCAUUUUGUGUCCACUUGAUGGACAAGAGAACAAUAUCGAAAAAGUAUGAAAUUUGAUUUAUAGAUACUUCAAGUGGUAUAUAGAUCAUGUCAACGGUGCCGAUCGUCGAUUUGGAGGCUCCAUCAUCGAAAAUAAAUGGGUGACAACGAAGCUCAUUUACUAUCGAUAGCAUUCUAGCUCAACUCUAUAUAUAUAUAUAUAUAUAUAUAUAUAUAUAUAGUCCGGCUGAGGUACUAUCGAUAGCACCAAGGAUUUGGUGCUAUCGAGUUUUCCACCGUUAGAUUUAAACCUUUGAUUAUUUUUACCCGUUAGAUUAUACGAUUCAACCAAGCACUCACUCAACCCUAGGGGGCCCACAUCAUCCUAACCACCAAUUUCUUAAUCAAAAGGCUAAAAAAUCAAUAGCACAAAUAGCUUGGUGCUAUUGAUAGUAUUCCAGCCUAGUUCUAUAUAUAUAUAUAGAGAGAGAGAGAGAGUUGGACUGGGCUACUAUUAGUAGCAAAAUCCCAUUGUUGCUACCAGUUUUUUAGCCUUUGGAUCAACUCUUUUCAUUAUUUCUAACCAUUGGAUUAAAUACUAUAACCCAGUGGAGACCACUCAACCCUAGGGGGACCACUCAACUCUAAACGACUAAUAUCAUUCCGACCCUAUAAUUUUUCAUCCAAAGGUUAAAAACUUGAUAGCAAAAAGAGCGUUUUACUAUUAAUAAUAUUGCAGCCUAAUUAUAUAUAUAUAUAUAUAUAUAUAUAUGGGUCCGGCUACUAUACUAUUAUGAGUACGAUCGCCCUCGUACUCAUAAGUUGUUUUCGAUGAUAGAGCUUCCGAAUUGACGAUCCACACCGUUAAACGUUAUUUACAGCAUUUAAAACUUCUAGAAAUCAAAUUUUAUAAUUUUUCGACAUUAUUUACCUUACGAUCAAGAAGUCACAAAUUUGACAAUUUUUAACGGCCGAUAUAGGAUACUUGCUAGUUUAACGGUGUAAAAGAAUCGGAAUUUAUUGAAUUUUUGAUAGAAAAUUCUAUUCACUACAUAGAUAAAGAUCAAUAACUCCGAUCUUGAAUUGAAGGAUCCGAUCAUCCUUUUUUAGAACGUCGUUCGAUUUUGACCGUUCAUUUUAUUCCCACUUGAUGGACUUUAUUAUGAUUUCGAAAAUUUACGAAAUUUAUUUUCUAGAAGUUCAAAUAGUCUAGAUCAUAUUUAACGGAGUGGAUCGUUGAUUCGGAAACUCCAUCAUUGAAAACAACUUAUGAGUACGAGGUCUCCAAUACUCAUAAUAGUAUAGUAGCCAUGGCCUUUAUAUAUAUAUAUAUAUAUAUAUAUAUAGAAGCUCUCGAACAUCGAAAAUAACUUGGAAGUACGGAGGGCUCCGUGCUUCCAUAAGCAUACAGCACCUAUAUAAUAUAUAUAUAUAUAUAUAUUAUAUAUAUAUAUAUAUAUAUUAUAUAUAUAUAUAUAAUAUAUAGAAACUAGGUUGGAAUGCUAUUAAUAGCACCAAUGACUUGGUGCUAUAUAUUAACUUUUCUGCCCUUAGAUUA